CGUCCGGGAUCUGGUUCGGCGAGAUGAAGUGCACGUGCGAGUCGAUGCCGCCGGCCGUCAACAUGCGGCCUUCGCCCGCAAGGAUUUCCGUCGACGCGCCAAUCUCGAGCCCUGGCGUCACGCCGUCCAUCACGUCCGGAUUGCCGGCCUUGCCGAUCGCCGAGAUGCGACCGUCACGCACGCCGACGUCGGCCUUGUAGAUCCCACUGCUGUCGACGAUGACCGCGUUCGUGAUCACGAGAUCCGGCGCGCCUGCCUGGCGCGUCGCCGACGGCGACUGCCCCAUGCCGUCGCGAAUG
rnacentral:sRNA from 1 species